rnacentral:lncRNA from 1 species
AUGGCCGGGGAGGGGGCACUGCUGGCUUCACCUACACCUCGUUCUCGCCUCGUUCUCGCCUCGUUCACCUCCCUCUCGAGGGCUGCCAGGUCCUGGUGGCUCCCUCGAGUGGGCUCGGUGCUGGAAAAAUUAUCACUGCCUGUCCGAUCCCCUGCUCCCUGCAGAACGCGUCUGCCCCAGAGCCAAUCGCCUCGGUCUGCACUGAGGAACCUCUCAAAGGUUCCUCUCAAAGGUUCCUCCUUUCUUCCUCUUGGUGAAUCUCUGAGAUUUCUUUCUGAGGGUGAAUGUAUGAACCUUGCUUCUGAAAGGCAAGUAUACACGACUAUGUGGAAUACAGAACAUAAUCUUACUUGGUAAGUGAGAUUACUUUGAUGUAGUUUCGUGUAGUUAGGUGAUUUGUUGUAAGAUGAUUUGAUGUGGUUAGAUGAUAUUGAUAAAAUCAAACUAAUCUUUCCAUUAAAACACUGUAGCAUGAUUAGAUGACAAUGCAUUUCAUACAAAAGCAAAUCAGUCCGUAGCAUUUCUGAAGUGCAGAGAAGGAUAGAAACAUUUGGAAUGCACUUUUGAACAACAAUGUUUUAAGUCUACUGUGAAACUAUGAAUCUAAGUUGAUUGGUAGUUCUGCUAAGGUUUAUAUCAUUAUCAGUAGCAUACAGAGUCACAUAUGAUGAUGUUACUUGAAAAUAUCUUGUUUGUAGUCUUCAGAUAUCAAUUACGGGUGAUGAUUCACAUGGUAGUUGAGUUGAUCUAACUGCUUGUGGCUAUUGAGAGGGUCAGUCCUGCUUUCCCUUCUGCUUCCAUAUGUGCCUCUAUCCCCAUACUCUUGCCUGACUUUUAGUGAUCUGAACACUCACAAAAACAGCAGAAAACCAUUGUUGCUGUUCUGUCAGGUUUGUUUUCUGCACCUGAGCAAGACACACUGAUUGACCAAAGGGCUAGUUGGAUGCUGUAGGGGUUAGACCAUAUAAAUUGGUAUGGAAGACCAUAUGGAUAGGUGGGAAGGAGUGGAGCUCCCCCUUUGGAAGCAGCAAGCUCUUACACUGUCUGAG